GAAUUCACUAGUGAUUCAGGCCUAACACAUGCAAGUCGAGCGGUAGAGAGAAGCUUGCUUCUCUUGAGAGCGGCGGACGGGUGAGUAAUGCCUAGGAAUCUGCCUGGUAGUGGGGGAUAACGUUCGGAAACGGACGCUAAUACCGCAUACGUCCUACGGGAGAAAGCAGGGGACCUUCGGGCCUUGCGCUAUCAGAUGAGCCUAGGUCGGAUUAGCUAGUUGGUGAGGUAAUGGCUCACCAAGGCGACGAUCCGUAACUGGUCUGAGAGGAUGAUCAGUCACACUGGAACUGAGACACGGUCCAGACUCCUACGGGAGGCAGCAGUGGGGAAUAUUGGACAAUGGGCGAAAGCCUGAUCCAGCCAGGCCGCGUGUGUGAAGAAGGUCUUCGGAUU
rnacentral:rRNA from 1 species